rnacentral:rRNA from 1 species
UACGUAGGUGGCAAGCGUUGUCCGGAAUUAUUGGGCGUAAAGCGCGCGCAGGCGGUCUCUUAAGUCUGAUGUGAAAUCCCGUGGCUUAACCACGGGCGGUCAUUGGAAACUGGGGGACUUGAGUGCAGAAGAGAAGAGCGGAAUUCCACGUGUAGCGGUGAAAUGCGUAGAGAUGUGGAGGAACAUCAGUGGCGAAGGCGGCCUGCUGGGCUGUUGAUGACGCUGAGGCGCGACAGCGUGGGGAGCAAACAGG